rnacentral:misc_RNA from 1 species
CAUUCAGUAGCCUCGCUACCUUUGUUUAUACCCUUGUUUUUUGCGUACUAUUGGUUUCCUCGGCGGGCUUGCCUGCCGGUUGGACAAAACUAUAACCUUUUUAAAUCUUCAAUCAGCGUCUGAAUUAUACAUAAUAAUUA